rnacentral:rRNA from 1 species
UACGAAGGGGGCUAGCGUUGCUCGGAAUUACUGGGCGUAAAGGGCGCGUAGGCGGAUAGUUUAGUCAGAGGUGAAAGCCCAGGGCUCAACCCUGGAAUUGCCUUUGAUACUGGCUAUCUUGAGUUCGGGAGAGGUGAGUGGAACUCCGAGUGUAGAGGUGAAAUUCGUAGAUAUUCGGAAGAACACCAGUGGCGAAGGCGACUCACUGGUCCGAUACUGACGCUGAGGCGCGAAAGCGUGGGGAGCAAACAGG